rnacentral:tRNA from 1 species
CCCUGGUGGCUCAGAUGGUAAGGGAACUGCCUGCAAUGCAGGAGACCCAGGUUCGAUCCUUGGGUCAGGAA